rnacentral:rRNA from 1 species
UACGGAGGGGGCUAGCGUUGUUCGGAAUUACUGGGCGUAAAGCGCACGUAGGCGGCUUUGUAAGUUAGAGGUGAAAGCCCGGGGCUCAACUCCGGAAUUGCCUUUAAGACUGCAUCGCUAGAAUUGUGGAGAGGUAAGUGGAAUUCCGAGUGUAGAGGUGAAAUUCGUAGAUAUUCGGAAGAACACCAGUGGCGAAGGCGGCCAUCUGGAUCAACACUGACGCUGAGGCACGAAAGCGUGGGGAGCAAACAGG